GUUUUGGUGAUGGUGAUGUGUUUGUAGAUCUUACUUUACUAAAUAUUCUUGCUGCUUACAAUUAUCUCUAUCUAUAACAGUACUUUCUGUGGAAAAUGUUAUUGAAAAUCUUCAAAUUUUAAGAAAAUUGUUAAAAAUUGACUAUGAAGGGCAAUAACUCCUUAGGGGGUCAAUUGACUAUUUUGGUCAUACUGACUUAUUUUAGUUCUUACUUUGC
rnacentral:lncRNA from 1 species